rnacentral:rRNA from 1 species
AACGAACGCUGGCGGCAGGCUUAACACAUGCAAGUCGAACGCCCUGGUAACGGGGGGUGGCAGACGGGUGAGUAACGCGUGGGAACGUACCCUUUACUACGGAAUAACUCAGGGAAACUUGUGCUAAUACCGUAUGUGCCCUUUGGGGGAAAGAUUUAUCGGUAAAGGAUCGGCCCGCGUUGGAUUAGCUAGUUGGUGGGGUAAAGGCCUACCAAGGCGACGAUCCAUAGCUGGUCUGAGAGGACGACCAGCCACACUGGGACUGAGACACGGCCCAGACUCCUACGGGAGGCAGCAGUGGGGAAUAUUGGACAAUGGGCGCAAGCCUGAUGCAGCGACGCCGCGUGGGUGAUGAAGGUCUGCGGAUCGUAAAGCCCUGUCAGGAGGGAAGAAGUUCUGACUGUACCUCCAAAGGAAGCCCCGGCUAACUACGUG